CAGCCGCCGCGGUAAUACGUAGGUCCCGAGCGUUGUCCGGAUUUAUUGGGCGUAAAGCGAGCGCAGGCGGUUAGAUAAGUCUGAAGUUAAAGGCUGUGGCUUAACCAUAGUACGCUUUGGAAACUGUUUAACUUGAGUGCAAGAGGGGAGAGCGGAAUACCAUGUGUAGCGGUGAAAUGCGUAGAUAUAUGGAGGAACACCGGUGGCGAAAGCGGCUCUCUGGCUUGUAACUGACGCUGAGGCUCGAAAGCGUGGGGAGCAAACAGGAUUAGAUACCCGCGUAGUCCCUGUCUCUUAUACA
rnacentral:rRNA from 1 species